CGGUGGAUUAUGUGGUAUUAAUUCGAUGCAACGCGAAAAACCUUUACCUACCCUUGACAUGCUAGGAACUUGCCAGAGAUGGCUUGGUGCCCGAAAGGGAACCUAGACACAGGUGCUGCAUGGCUGUCGUCAGCUCGUGUCGUGAGAUGUUGGGUUAAGUCCCGCAACGAGCGCAACCCUUGUCAUUAAUUGCCAUCAUUCAGUUGGGCACUUUAAUGAGACUGCCGGUGACAAACCGGAGGAAGGUGGGGAUGACGUCAAGUCCUCAUGGCCCUUAUAGGUGGGGCUACACACGUCAUACAAUGGCUGGUACAAAGGGUUGCCAACCCGCGAGGGGGAGCCAAUCCCAUAAAGCCAGUCGUAGUCCGGAUCGCAGUCUGCAACUCGACUGCGUGAAGUCGGAAUCGCUAGUAAUCGUGGAUCAGCAUGUCACGGUGAAUACGUUCCCGGGUCUU
rnacentral:rRNA from 1 species